rnacentral:rRNA from 1 species
AACGAACGCUGGCGGCAUGCCUAACACAUGCAAGUCGAACGAGACCUUCGGGUCUAGUGGCGCACGGGUGCGUAACGCGUGGGAACCUGCCCUUAGGUUCGGAAUAACUCCCCGAAAGGGGUGCUAAUACCGGAUAAUGUCGUCGGACCAAAGAUUUAUCGCCUUUGGAUGGGCCCGCGUUGGAUUAGCUAGUUGGUAGGGUAAAAGCCUACCAAGGCGACGAUCCAUAGCUGGUCUGAGAGGAUGAUCAGCCACACUGGGACUGAGACACGGCCCAGACUCCUACGGGAGGCAGCAGUGGGGAAUAUUGGACAAUGGGCGAAAGCCUGAUCCAGCAAUGCCGCGUGAGUGAUGAAGGCCUUAGGGUUGUAAAGCUCUUUUACCAGGGAUGAUAAUGACAGUACCGGGAGAAUAAGCUCCGGCUAACUCCGUG